rnacentral:lncRNA from 10 species
GAGAGUUCCCAAUUCAUUCCUUUCCUCCGGUUACUGAGCGCCUCCUACAUGCCAGGCGCACUACAGAAGGUGCAGUUGAUUCAGACAGGGCCACCAUGACCGUGAAAAGGGUGCUUCCUCUCCCACCUCCGAUAAUUUUAGAUUGUGAAGUUGGCACGAGCCCAGCUCAUAAUGGAUAGACCUAUGGCUGACUAUGAGAAAAGGUGUCUGAAGGAUGGCCCAGAUAGCAAAACAAAUAAGCCAGUAAGCAAACAAAUGGGGGAGCCCUGGAGUUGGACCGCCUGUCUAUAAAUCCAGGCUCUGCUACCUACUCGAUGUGGGAUGAUCCUGUGGACAUUGCUUAGUUUUUUACCACCUUACUGGGUUCAUUUAUAAAAGGUAUCCUAAUGUAAAGUACUACAGGAGAUUAAAACAAAAAACUCACCAGCAACUAUAGUAGUAUGCCAGUACUUUCUCAUCAUGGAUUACAUAAGAUGAUAGUAUGUGACAAAAAUGUGCAUCUUAGAAUUGGAGAAAUAUGGUAAUAUAUAUUUCGUUUGGCUUUUCUGAUGAUUAAAGAGUUGUUAAGGCCAGGUGCAGUGGCUUGCAUCUGUGAUCCUGGCACCUCAGGAGGCCGAGGUGGGAAGAUAGCUUGAGCCUAGGAGUUCAAGACCAGCCUGGGAAACAUAAUGAAAGCCUG